AUGUCUUUCCUCAGAAAAGAUGACAACAUUUUUUGAAAAAAUGUCCUUUGAAAUAUUAGGCUUGGUUGCUGAAUGACAAUCAAACCGAUAAAUCAUUGCCUACUGUUAGUCACAAAAGCUUCCAUCAAAUUGUUUGGCUAGAGGAGUUGGGCUAUCUUACAGUUUUCAAGGAAAGGAUCACCAGCUCACUUGGACCGGUAUUUCUUAUAAUGCAAGAAAAUUAAAAAUGAUCUCUUUAUAAUUGAUACAAAUGCUUAAAAGCUCAUUUUGCACAUUCUGUAAAACACAUUCCAUGGACAUUUUAAAUAAAUUACAAAUUUUCCUUACA